rnacentral:rRNA from 1 species
GUGGAUUAGAUACCCUGGUAGUCCACGCCCUAAACGGUGGGUACUAGGUGUAGGGCUCGCAAGGGUUCUGUGCCGUAGGGAAACCAUUAAGUACCCCGCCUGGGGAGUACGGCCGCAAGGUUGAAACUCAAAGGAAUUGACGGGGGCCCGCACAAGCGGUGGAGCAUGUGGUUUAAUUCGACGCAACGCGAAGAACCUUACCUGGGUUUGACAUGUUAGUGGUAGGAAACUGAAAGGGGACCGAUUCGUAGCAAUACGAAAGCUAACACAGGUGCUGCAUGGCCGUCGCCAGCU